AUUGAACGCUGGCGGCAGGCCUAACACAUGCAAGUCGAGCGGAUGAAGAGUGCUUGCUCCUGGAUUCAGCGGCGGACGGGCGAGUGAUGCCUAGGAAUCUGCCUGGCUGUGGGUGCUAACGUCCGGACACGGGCGCUAAUACCGCAUACGUCCUGAGGGCGUACGUGGGGGAUCUUCGGACCUUCCGCUAUCAGAUGAGCCUAGGUCGGAUUAGCUAGUUGGUGGGGUAAAGGCCUACCAAGGCGACGAUCCGUAGCUGGUCUGAGAGGAUGAUCGGCCACACUGGAACUGAGACACGGUCCAGACUCCUACGGGAGGCAGCAGUGGGGAAUAUUGGACAAUGGGCGCAAGCCUGAUCCAGCCAUACCGCGUGGGUGAAGAAGGCCUUCGGGUUGUAAAGCCCUUUUGUUGGGAAAGAAAAGCAGCAGGUUAAUACCCCGCUGUUCUGACGGUACCCAAAGAAUAAGCCCCGGCUAACUUCGUG
rnacentral:rRNA from 1 species